GUCUCAACGAGAGACCCGGUGAAAUUAUACUAUGCGUGAAGAUGCGCAUUACCCGCGACAGGACGGAAAGACCCCGUGGAGCUUUACUGUAGCCUGAUAUGGAAUGUUGGUACAGCUUGUACAGGAUAGGUGGGAGCCUUAGAAACCGGAGCGCUAGCUUCGGUGGAGGCAUCCGUGGGAUACCACCCUGGCUGUAUUGACAUUCUAACCCAGAACCGUUAUCCGGUUCGGAGACAGUGUCAGGUGGGCAGUUUGACUGGGGCGGUCGCCUCCCAAAGAGUAACGGAGGCGCCCAAAGGUUCCCUCAGAAUGGUUGGAAAUCAUUCGUAGCGUGCAAAGGCAGAAGGGAGCUUGACUGCGAGACCUACAAGUCGAGCAGGGACGAAAGUCGGGCUUAGUGAUCCGGCGGUGCCGUAUGGAAGGGCCGUCGCUCAACGGAUAAAAGCUACCCCGGGGAUAACAGGCUUAUCUCCCCCAAGAGUCCACAUCGACGGGGAGGUUUGGCACCUCGAUGUCGGCUCAUCGCAUCCUGGGGCUGUAGUCGGUCCCAAGGGUUGGGCUGUUCGCCCAUUAAAGCGGUACGCGAGCUGGGUUCAGAAC
rnacentral:rRNA from 1 species